UACGGAGGGUGCAAGCGUUAUCCGGAUUCACUGGGUUUAAAGGGUGCGUAGGAGGGCAGGUAAGUCAGUGGUGAAAUCUCCAAGCUUAACUUGGAACUGCCGUUGAUACUAUCUGUCUUGAAUACCGUGGAGGUGAGCGGAAUAUGUCAUGUAGCGGUGAAAUGCUUAGAUAUGACAUAGAACACCAAUUGCGUAGGCAGCUUACUACACGAUCAUUGACGCUGAGGCACGAAAGCGUGGGGAGCAAACAGGA
rnacentral:rRNA from 1 species